rnacentral:rRNA from 1 species
CCUACGGGUGGCUGCAGUGGGGGAUAUUGCACAAUGGAGGAAACUCUGAUGCAGCGACGCCGCGUGAGGGAAGACGGUCUUCGGAUUGUAAACCUCUGUCUGGGGGGAAGAAAAUGACGGUACCCAAAGAGGAAGCUGCGGCUAACUACGUGCCAGCAGCCGCGGUAAUACGUAGGGAGCGAGCGUUGUCCGGAUUUACUGGGUGUAAAGGGAGCGGAGGCGGGCGAGAAAGUUGACUGUUAAAUCGACCGGCUUAACUGGUAGCUGCGUCCCAAACUUCUGGUCUGGAGUGCAGUAGCGGCAGGCGGAAUUCCUAGUGUAGCGGUGAACUGCGUAGCUAUUAGGCGGAACACCAGUUGCGAAGGCGGCCUGCUGGGCUUUCCCUGACGCUGAGGCUCGAAAGCGUGGGGAGCAAACAGGAUUAGAUACCCCUGUAGUC